UUUCUGGUAAAGAGGGUUGUGGCCUGUGGGUGAACCGGGUUCGUUUGUUUUACAUUGGGAAAGGAGGAAAUAAUAAAGGUUGGCAUUGCUCUAUGUAAGGAAGGAAUUGGGGAUAUAUAUGGUUAUAUUUCUCUUAUCAUAAUAAUACCUUGGCUUCUUUGUGUACAACAAUUAUUUUUUCUCUCAUUUUUUAUUAUUCACUUAAUUA